GUGAGGUGCGGACAACGCCCCGGGCGCCGCGCGCUGCCGCCGAUCCCCAUUGGCUGGGCGCGGCCGGAGGGCGGGGCGGGGGAACGUGGCGGGCGUGGGGGUGGGACGCCGUAGUGCCGCAGACAAAGAGUGUGCUUCACGCGCCCGCCGGCGCUGCUCGGUGGGAGGAAGCGCGGUGAGUGCCGUGGCGACUGCCGGGGCCGAUAACCUUCUGGGAGCCGGCGGCCAGCGGGAUGCAAGGACCUCAGCUAGUGUGCCACGCGGGCCAGCUAUGCAGGGGACAGGGCCCGGGAAACUUCGACCUGGGUUCGUUUCCGAGUCUGCCGCGGGACCUCAGCGUCCUCGCCUGUUUAAUGGGACACUGCCGUGAAAACGGACGUGCRACGCCGGGACCUUCCGAGGCCUGAAGGCCCGAGCACAACUAGUCGAGAAACUCCUUGGGCGGCGAAAGGGCGCCCUCGUAGCGCUCUCGCCUGUCCUGCCUGCGCGCCCACCUGGAGGUGGCCUCUGGGGCUUCCGGUCUCCGGAGAACAUGCGGGAAUGAGAGGGUCUGAGCGCGCCGCGCGCUUCCGGCAGCGCCGGGCGCUGUGCUGGGUGAGAGGAGACCGAACUUCCACACAGGCUGGCGGAGGGGCGAGGGGCUCCGCCCAGCCCCGGGGCCCUCACCUUCCGGCGGGCCGAGGGAGGGCUCGCCGGAGCUGCGCCAGGCUGCGAGGGAGGUGCCGGGACCCGCUGAGAACUUCCGGGCCCUGCGGGCCUGGUGGCGGGGACUCCAGCCACAGUGCCGAGGUUCUGCAGUACAGCCACUGAUUGCAGUGAAUGCGUGUCCGUGGAGGGACCUUACCUGGGGAGGAUGCCAGUGUCUGUCACUGGUGAAACUUGGUGAUACAGAAGCCAGGGGAUUCCACUGCUCCUGUGUGUUUCAGUUUAUCCUUAGGAUCUAAAUUUAACCAUCAUUAAGCAGAGACUCAAACGCCAGGGCUGCUGACUCCUAGUCCAGUGCUCGUGAUGGCUGGUGGGCCCUGAACUAGGGGUCUGGAGGCCUAGGUUUGAAUAUCACCAGCCUUCAACCCAGCCAGGUGGCUCCUGGGAUGCGUUGGGGAGACUGUGAAAGGUCUGAGUCAGGAAAAAAUACUACAUAAAAACUGAUAAGACAAGGACAG
rnacentral:lncRNA from 1 species